rnacentral:lncRNA from 1 species
ACGGCGGCCUGGCCCACGAGCCGCUCCUGCAGCCCGCUCAGAACUUUUCCGCUAAAAUCACAAACGUGGGCAGCUGUCAUUUUUAAAGCGUGCUGCGGAGAGGAGAGGGAAAGGGAGAGGGGGUGGUGGUGUGUUGUGUGUGCGUGGGGGGGGGAUGUGUGGAGGGGAGAGUCGCGAACCAAACUGCCCCUUCCCAGCUCUCCCCCGGAUCUCCCCUUCCCUCUCCCCGCUCUCCUCUUCCUCCCCUCCCAGUCUCCUCCCGUUGUGUUUUAAGGUAGGAAAAAAUAUAUCUAUAUCUAUUUUUUUGUAAUUUUAUUUCCAGGCUCCGUGGCAUCCGGAUCUGUUCGUGUCUCUUUCGUAGGCGAAAAAAAAGAAUAAUCAGGAGGGGGGGGGGGGGGGAAAUAACCCUAUUUCACCCCGCCAGCGCCAAAGCGUAUUUAUAAUGCGGCCGUAACGUAACGUAACCAACGUUUGCGGGGGAGGGGGGCGAAGAAGGGUCUGAGGGUCCGAAAUAUUUUCUCUGAGAGCUUUGGGUUUGGCUUUAAAAGGUACCGCUUAGGGUACGCGUUGAAGAAGAAGAGAAGUCGGUGAAACUCAGGACUGCGGUUUAAUUAUUAUUAAUUAUUAUUAUUAUUAUUAUUACUAUUUUUUUUUUCCAAUGGGACGUUCAAAUGGACGUUGAAAGCAGAUCCGAUCCGUCGCGAAGUUCGGAGAUUCCCACCCCGGUUUUUCGCUCCCCCCCCCUUUUCCGACCCCAUCCUUGCGUGGGUUUUUGGUGUAUCGGUAAUUAUUUGUAUAUAGAUUAUUCGGGAACUGAUGAGCGAACUCCUCGCUGGUUGUGCAUCCAUCGUAUCUAUUUUAUUGAGAGAGAAUCUGUGAAUCAUUUUCGAUGUGGAAAAAAAAAAAGGGGGGCGACGGCUUUUUUUUUAUUAUUAUUUUUAUUUUAAUUUUUUUUUUUUUUUUUGUCCACCCGUUGGUGUAAAUUAAUAAAUGUUUGUGACCUGGUUUUAAAAGGAGGGAAAAAAAAAAAGAGAGAGAGAAAAAAAAAAACCAAACGAAAACCAAGCAAACAACAAAAAGCGGAAUGCCGAUGCUUCUUUGCGAUGUCCUUUGUCACGGAGCCCCGUUCGGGCCUCGGGGGGAGCGGAGCGGUCCCACCGUCGGCGCUGCGCGGUGCGCCCACAGCCGCGGGUCCGUCCGCCGUCCGAAG